AACGAACGCUGGCGGCAUGCCUAACACAUGCAAGUCGAACGAGAUCUUCGGGUCUAGUGGCGCACGGGUGCGUAACGCGUGGGAAUCUGCCCUUUGGUUCGGAAUAACAGUUGGAAACGACUGCUGAUACCGGAUGAUGACGAAAGUCCAAAGAUUUAUCGCCAGAGGAUGAGCCCGCGUAGGAUUAGCUAGUUGGUGUGGUAAAGGCGCACCAAGGCGACGAUCCUUAGCUAGUCUGAGAGGAUGAUCAGCCACACUGGGACUGAGACACGGCCCAGACUCCUACGGGAGGCAGCAGUGGGGAAUAUUGGAAAAUGGGCGAAAGCCUGAUCCAGCAAUGCCGCGUGAGUGAUGAAGGCCUUAGGGUUGUAAAGCUCUUUUACCCGGGAUGAUAAUGACAGUACCGGGAGAAUAAGCUCCGGCUAACUCCGUGCCAGCCGCCGCAGUAA
rnacentral:rRNA from 1 species